GGUUGGCCUCAGGCGAUCCAUUUGCAUGCCUCUUGGUAUUCACUGUAUCAGUUUUGAUAGUAAGUGGACACGUGCAGCAACCUUGGUCUGAGAAGGGCUUAGUGACCACGGCUCAGAUGCCUCAGGGAUGAAGUUCUAGGCCACAUCACCAGAAUCCUCUCGAAGCUGAGAAUAUCUGCAACAGGCAGCAGGGAGCGGUGGUGGGAGUGGGAGUUAGGAAGGAAAAUUGGCUACAGCUCUGGAAUAUCAUCCACUACGAAAGCUGGGCUGCAUGCCAGAAGAUUCCAGUGGACAAGCCAAUUGCCAUCAGAAGAGCAAGCAUCAGGCAUUAUCCUUCAGGGACCAGCCCAGGGUGUCUCAGGUGGAGAAUAAAGAGGAAAAACAUGGAACACCAUUUACGAAAUGACAUUCUCAUCCAAUUCCUCCAUCCCAAAUGAAUGAAGAUUUAUGGAGUAGAGACCUCUGCGGGGCAGGAGGUGGGACCAUCUGUAGAAGUGCUCAAGAGAGACCAGCUGAAGAGCCAAGGAUGAGCUGGAGAUCCACCGGCAAAUGGUCAGCAGCGAGACAGACGGAAGGCCUUUAUCAUCUCCGGGCCCUCUCCAAACACACAAAUCAAUAACAAUUAAAGCAGAUUAUGAAAAGGCAAUAAUGGAUAAUUAAAUGUUUGGACUUGAUUUAAACUGGGAUAAACGCUCUCACAUGGAAAUUUACUCUAUAGAGA
rnacentral:lncRNA from 1 species